GGCACGACCACAUGCAAAACUAAAUUAAUUAAGCAAGGCAAUCGAGGAUUGGAUUACCUUUUUACGCAAGUGACUUAAUUUAAAUUCCGCAGUAAUAAAUAGCGCUGUCAUGCGUAAAGCGUCUAAUUCAAUUCUUGCGAAUGAGAGCUCACGGAUUGGCACUCCCAAAUAUUGGCAAAGAGAUAAGAAAUCAGCGAUGAAUGCGGCAUUGGUGAUAAUUCCGAAGCUGCCAAGUCGGGAAGUUAUGAUGCGAAAUAUUUAGCUGUGUUUUAGCAACGGUUUCUGAAGCCGUAUAUUAAAGUAAUUAAACAUGUCGCAUGUACGACAUCAGCACGAGCGUAGUUUAUCGCAAUGACUACCAAAAUUAACAAUAUAAUUUAGAGAAAAUAAAUAAUGUAUUCCGGCGCUUGUUUAGUAUAAACAAUACCCAAAGGCGAACACGCAACUAUUCCUCUAGACAUUUAAUAUAGUGCUCACAAUUUCAUGGUUUUGUUCAGCAGAUAAGAUUAUUAUAAUUUGCAUGAAACGAUAUUCGCAAAUGUAAAACCUGCAUAUGAAUAAACAGUCAAUUUCGCAUCAUGUCCACCCAGUAAAUGCAUUAAUAAAUUAAUUUAUUUAUUUUGACUGGUGUUGGUAGGUCGAGACUUGACAGCGGUUGGGGCACCAUUACUGGAGAAUCGAGGGGAUGAAAAUUAAAAUUUUGCAAUCGGAUAUAUUGCCUUACAUGGAGAAUGUCUAGGUUGCCAAGAGAUUGGAAGCCCAUUGUCAUAAAAUAACCAGAAUUAGGCAUCUUGGUCGCGUAUUCAAGCUUCCUAAUGACUUUUAACCCCCCUGGCAUCGCAGUAUGUGGUUUGGCCGCAAAGAGCGCAAUUGUGUAUAAAAUUUUUAAUUUGGCGCCACCGCGUACUGCCAAGUCACAAACCACAAAUCUAUAUUGGAGCGGGUGGUGCGGACGAAAAUAGUUGAAGGAUAGGAAGUACCAAGUUGGCCAUAACAUUUCACUGUCAGUGUACUGGCAACCAUGAAGUGUGGAUGAUUGACGUUUUCUUCAGCGGUCAUUUGUACUUGAGAUGCUUGGGCUAGUAGCAUGGAUGUGCUGAAAGGAAAGACUAAAGAACGCAGACAAGCAAAAUUUGAGUUGCACCAUGUACAUUAGCUAUGCUUGACCGAUUGAUAUCGACAUACCAGCUAAACGGGCUAUAAACCUAACAAAAACAUACUGUACAAUAAUAAAAUAACAUGUAAGACAAAAAGCAGUGGAAUAAUCUAAUUGAUAUUCUAUAACAAUACUGCAAAACGUUAGAAGUAUUGACAUAUAUGUAAACGUCACAACGAAAUGAAGUUCGCAUACAUCACACAACGCAGCGGAAUAAUCAUGGCAUACAUCGGAGGUAGCCGCACAUUGAGUAUUCCAUUUAUACAAUGCUGCAAAAUAUAUAAAUAUUCGGGCAAUCUGAAAACAACUAGCUGCACCGUCCCACAAUAUAUUGAUUUCAACUGUGGGCAUCUGAAAAUGAUAAUCGCUCUAUCCCACGUAGACAUGCAUUUUUCCUAACACAGGAACAGUAGCAAAUUAUAUACGGUCACAGUGACACAACAUAAGUUUAGACGAGAACAGCCGUAACAGCCACGUAUACAGAACAGACUGAAUGAGAACAUGAACAUAUAUAUGUAUAUAAAUGCCAGAAAUUCAUGAAAACGUCCUGUGAAGAAAAAACCCAAUGUUGAAAUCUCAACGUGGGCAUCUGAAAACAGCUAGUGCUCUAGCCCAUAACACAUGAAAUUUACAGAGAAACAUACAAAACACGAAGCAGCGGGGAAUAAUCACAAUGGCAUACAUCGGAGGUAGCCGCAAAUUGAAUAUUCCAUCUAUACAAUGCUGCAAAUUAUAAAUAUUCGGGCAAUCUGAAAACAACCAUGCAGCUGCACCAUCCCAUAAUAUAUUGAUUUCAACUGUGGGUAUUUGACACAAGAACAAGGGCAGAAUAUAUAUACGCACACGUACACAUGUUUAAAACACAACUUUGACACGUAUAUACACAAAACAAUACAAAGUUAUAACAAUCGUAUAUAUAAAUGCCACAAAUUCAUGAAAAAGUUCUGUGUAGCAAAAAACCCAAGGGCAAAGUUGAAAUCUCAACGUGGGCAUCUGAAAACAGCCAAGUUGCUCUAUAGCCCAUAAAACAUGAAAUGACUUCAAUAACAUGAAACGGUAACAACGGGAAUAUUGCUAAUAAGCUAAUAAACCCGAAUAGCAAUAGCACAAUAUGCUAUAGUUAGCAGCAACAACACCGCAAAUGCUAUUGUUAGCAUAUUCAUGAUAACAUAUGUACAAACAUAAUGAUGGUAACAUAUACGUAUACAAUUCUGACCCCUAACAUAAAAUUAGCACAAAUACCCACUAUAUCAUACAAAUAUAGUGAAGAGCACAGACAUGAAUGGCCCCAGAUUAUAAUCUGCCUCAUAAGGUAUAGUAUAAAAACAAGACGCCUGCGCAGGCGUUCACACUGGCCUGAAAAUAACGAGAUACGUGCUAUGGUGC
rnacentral:lncRNA from 1 species